AUCGUUUAAAUAUAUUUUCUACAGAGACUCAGACUGAAUGUGAGUGAAUAAAAGAGUUCAUGAUUAUGAGAAUUGUGACUUCUUUGGGGGACUUAUUUGAGAACAAACAAAUUUCCUGUUUCCUCGACUCCCUUCAGCCUCUUCCCCUCUGAUGAAGGCAUGGGGAAAUCCAUUGAAGCAAACACUCUAGCAUGCGUUCUCUUCAAACUUCCUUCAUGUUUGUGCUCGACCAGGAACCUACUGCCAGCAGAGGGAGGUAGAAGCCAUCAUGGAGGGCGACGAGGAGGACAGAGGCUGCUGCUGCUGCAAACCAGGCCACUUGCCUCACCUGCUGUCCUGCAACGCUGCCUUUCACCUCCGCUGGCUCACCUGGGAAAUCACACGGACCCAGUACAUCCUGGAAGGCUACAGCAUCCUGGACAACAACGCGGCCACCAUGCUGCAGGUGUUUGACCUCCGAAGGAUCCUCAUCCGCUACUACAUCAAGAGUAUAAUAUACUAUAUGGUAACAUCUCCCAAACUCCUCUCCUGGAUCAAAAAUGAAUCACUUCUGAAGUCCCUGCAGCCCU
rnacentral:sRNA from 1 species